UAAGACAUGCAAGUCGAGUGGGUUUAGGCCCACGGCGAACGGGUGAGUAAUACCUAGGAACAUCCCUCUAGUUGAGCAUAACCUGCCGAAAGGCAGGAUAAUACUCAAUGUGACCGCAAGGUUAAAGUCGCAAGACGCUAGAGAAAUGGCCUGGGCACCAUCAGCUAGUUGGUAGGGUAAAGGCCUACCAAGGCUAUGACGGUUAGGGGCCCCGAGAGGGGAGACCCCCACACUGGAACUGCGACACGGUCCAGACUCCUACGGGAGGCAGCAGUUUGGAAUUUUGGACAAUGGGCGAAAGCCUGAUCCAGCGACGCCGCGUGGACGAUGAAGGCCUUCGGGUUGUAAAGUCCUUUUGCAAGGGAAGAAUAUUCUGACGGUACCUUGCGAAUAAGAGGUUGCUAACUCUGUGCCAGCAGCAGCGGUAAUACAGAGACCUCAAGCGUUAUCCGGAAUCAUUGGGCGUAAAGCGUACCGAUAGGUGGUUGAGAAAGCCAGAAGUGAAAUCUCCGAGCUCAACUCGGAAUCUGUCUUUUGGAACUUCUCGACUAGAGGGGCAAAGAGGAAGCUGGAACGAACGGUGUAGUAGUGAGAUGCGUUGAUAUCGUUCGGAACACCAAU
rnacentral:rRNA from 1 species